GAAAUUGGUGGGUUCAAACAAAGAUCUCCAAGAGAUCUAGGGAACCAGGUGAUACCUGGCUUCUGGGGGGAAGGAAUAGAAAAUCAGCUAAGGUCUAGAAGGCUCAGGACAGAGGCCUGGAGUUGUAGGCUGGAUGGUGGGGGAGGGGCUGUGGUCCAGCCCGCUCCCCUUCGGUCCCCUCCCCAGCCCUCAGGAGCCCUUUGUGACAGGGCCACAGGUCUGUCAUGGGGGCCUGGGGUAAUCAUCUCCGGGCCACUCCCAGAGCUCAGUUGCCUCAGGGCAGCACUGCACUCCAGACAUGGAGAAUCCUCUCUGGUUUCUGAAAAGCUUUCUUGCCACCUGGUUGAGCUCCACUUCCACUUCCUGGACAACGGAUACCAUCCUCACUUUCUUGUGUGGACUGGGGCUCUUCCUCGUGCUCCUGCCCUCCCUCCACAGGAAUCCAUCCUUAUGACCCCCAGUGAAACGGAGAAACGUCAGGAAGGCCUUCCCACAGCUGGUGUCACAGGAGAGACUUCUUCUCUCCGGGCUGAUCUGAGGGUGGUGCUGAGCCCAGAGAGCCACCAGGCUUGGUCUAGAGUGGGACUCUGGCCUUGGCAAACAGAGUUCCCCCUGAGGAAGCUCAGAGGCAUCUUACAUCUGAGACUGUGAGUGUUUCUUGAACAGACGAACAGUGACAGAAGCAAUCCAUGAUGGGGUCUCAACUAGAACAUCCUUCUUGAUGUUCCUCAAAGAAGGAAGACAGAAAAAUACCCAGUUUAGGUUCAAUUAUCCACUUUCAAAAGGAAGCAAAAGAAAGAACCACCACAGAGCUCCAGGAGUUCAAUGUAGAAAGUCAUCUUGCUCCUGAACGCUGAGUUUCCGCCCCUGGUCUAGAGAGAGGACAGGGAGAAUUGGGUCUGAGCCCCUGGAGCUGUUUGUUUGUUCUCACCUCUCAGCCUCAAGUGGAGCCAAGGGGGAGGAGCAGCAGGAGUCAGAGGAAAGGGAAACCUCUACCAUUCAGCCCUGUGCCCCGAAAGCUGGCCGCUAUCUCUCCUGUCCCUGAGCGCCCAGCUCCCCAGCCUCCCAGGAAGCCAGGGGUAGAGCAUGUCCCUCAGGAAGCAGAGACCUCUGGGAGGCUCCCAGGAAGGAGAAGAGAACCCAGACACUUGCCAGAGUCUGUGCCUGUGCCGGGAAGGAAGCCCCAAGCCCGAAGGAACCUGGGGAUGGGUGAUGAGUAGCAGGGGCCUGAGGCUGUAGUGGACGUGGAGGCACUUGGUCAAUGACAAACGUCAACCCAUCAUGUGCCUUGCAAUCCGCCUCGGGGAUCACGUAGCCUUGGACACUGAUGCCUGAACUCCAGAUUCUGCCCUCCCUAUGAUCGCCCCUAAAGGGACAUCGCAGGCAGCCUCCGGUAAGAACCCUGGGCCACUGCCUUCAGCGCCGUGACCCGGUCUCCUGGUUUCUAGCUUACAGACAAGGCCUGAAAGCACUGGCAGAAGCUUGCGGGCUGA
rnacentral:lncRNA from 1 species